UACGUAGGGCGCAAGCGUUAUCCGGAAUUAUUGGGCGUAAAGAGCUCGUAGGCGGUUUGUCGCGUCUGCCGUGAAAGUCCGGGGCUCAACUCCGGAUCUGCGGUGGGUACGGGCAGACUAGAGUGCGGUAGGGGAGAUUGGAAUUCCUGGUGUAGCGGUGGAAUGCGCAGAUAUCAGGAGGAACACCGAUGGCGAAGGCGGCAUCCUGGACCGACACUGACGCUGAGGAGCGAAAGCCAGGGGAGCAAACGGG
rnacentral:rRNA from 1 species